CUACCCCGCACUGCUCUCUGGGGACACCGCUACUCAGAAGUCGCUCCGAAGUCUGCGGAGCUCAGAGCGAACUUCCGGCAGCCACCGCUUGUCCUUUGUGGAUCAUGUAACCCCUCAAUCAAUGCCGGCUGAAGACUGGAAAAAGAAACCGUUUGGGCAGUUUCCUUACCACUCCCUCUGGGUGAAGAAAGCAAACAAACAAAUCACUCAGCAUACAGCAGGUGCUGAGAAAACGCUUGCCACCCGUUCUGGGGGGAAUAUUUGCUGCUUCCUGAACUCCUGACCCUGGCCAGAACAAUCGCUCACUGUCUGGUGUGAAUCAUCUCUGCUCCUGCUGUCCCUUCUGCACAUCACUGCACUCGUCUGGGGACAAGGGCCUUCUAUUCAUAGUUCGUUAAAGCACUUGAGACAUUAGCUUGGCAGACCACUCACACAUUAAGUGGCCGUGGGACGCCAAACGCGAGGGCGCAGCCACGCACGGAACUGCAAGAGCUCUCUUCGAGGCGCUUACGCGUUCGUGAGGAAACAGGUAUGGAGCAAAUAGAUACCUCACACCUGCCGUGAGUUUUAUGGGCCACGAACGAAGUCCAGCGGGGCUCAAGAAGCAGGAGUCCAUCGGAAGCCGGACAAGGGCAUCAGCCAAGGAGACCGAGACUGGCUUACGGGCAGAAGUACAGCAGUUUAUGCCCAACUGGAGAAAAGGUCCUGACGAUUGAUUUGCGUGGCCAGGAAACAUAACCAACACGUCUCUGGGAGGCCUAGACCCGUGGUUCCUGCGAAGCAACAUCCAACCAUCCCCGACAAAUGCACGCCGGCCACGGUGCCACCCAGUCCCUACUGUCGCCCCAACACUGGGAGGCCAAGUAUCACUGGUAGAACUUCUCCGCCAAAUUCCAGACCCGAAUAUCCAACAACGUCACUUGGCAUCUCCACUUGGUUGUCUUAUAAGGAACUGCAAACAUCAUGUCCACACUGGGCUCCUUACUCCCUCCCUCCCAAGCUUGCUGUUCCCUGCAUUAAAUCUUCUGAGAACACCAACAGUGGGAACACAGCAGGGGAACGUCAACCUUCCAGGGCACUGAUUUAUCCGAAUCUUUCUUGAGUGAAAGGCCAUGGGGAGCUGAGGGACAAGUUCGGACACCAUGCCAACACCCACACCUACAGCAAGCCCUGGACUGAGGAAGUGAAAGAUUUUUCAGAGGUAAAACGUGCAGGGUUUGGUAACAAUGUGAGGGCAGUGCGUGGGGAUGGUAAUAUGGGCAACAGCCUGACAACCUUCAUGGAGAUGGAAAAGGACAGAGGGAUGAGGGGAGGGGGAGAGAGAGGAAGGGCACAUAGGAGUUCAAUUUCUGAGCAUGCUAAUUAAAUGUGUCACAUUAAUACAUGCAUUAAUAUAUCUUUCUUAGAUACAGUUCAAAGCCUAAUCAACUCCUCCAAGGCAAUUGUUCAAGGUUUAAGUUACUCCUAAAUUACGUAAGCUCAAAGACUCACAAGGGCUCAAAUUCACUGGGUACAGAGGCUCCAGGUAACACUCUAUCCUCCAGAACAAAAAAAAAAAAAAAAAAAAACAAAACCCCAAGUACAAACACCAGAAAAAUGUGGGAAAUGAUGGCUUGCAGAAGACCAGAGUGUCCCUAGUGCUUGAAACUAUGUAAAGAAUAGAAAAGAAGUGGCUCUGUUCUCCAGACUUACAUUUAAUAGGUUCUAAAUCCAGCACAGAUUUGACCUUUGCUUUAAAUAGAUUUUCUUGGAGAGAAGGGAAGAAAACAUUGAUUCAUCUGAGACUCCUGAACGACCUACUGUUCACAUUACUUGAAAUAAAGUCUGCUUUAAAUCAGAAUUCUUGGGACACAGAAAUAAAUAUACCAAGAGGUUUCUAAUUCUAUGCUUUCGCCAGCUGAUUAUUUUCAUUCACAACAGUGGACGAACUCGAUAUGGUCUUUCCAGAAGAAGGCCCAUGGCCACAGAGAGAGCACACAGAGGAAUCAAUCAGAUCAAUGCCAUUCGGGCUCAGACUUGAGCUUGUCUUGCGAUCAACACUUUCAAUAGAACAAAUAUGAGAAGUAUGUGAAAUGGAGAGGACUUUUGGGGGGUGUUCAAAGCCCAUGCUAAUUUAGCAACGUUUGAGGAGUAAGGGAAACCUAGAAGCAAAAAUGUUUCCAGGGAGAUGGAAAAAUGUUUCCAGGGAGAUCGAAUCAUUCAAUACCAGGAUUGUUCACUCAGGAAACAGGAAACAUACAAGCUUUCCCACUCUGCUAAACUCAGUCAUUAAGAUCAGUGCCACAGAUUUAAGGGCUAAUUAGGUAGUUAAUAUAUAAUCCUUGCCCUAAACCUUCUUAAUCUAUUCUUUAGCAAUUUUGAGUGUUUCACUGCUCUUAUUAACCCAUUGUCAGAAGACAUCUGGAGAGACAAAAUACAAAUAUACAUUGAACAGACGUACGCCUUACUAUCUGUUUGCUUCUGUUUAAGAAAGAAUUUGAAAAUAUGCGUUGGGUACCAUGUAGAUAAAUGAUCUCAGGGCACCAGACAGGUAAUAAAGGUACAGCUCCGACAUGAAGGCGGGGCGGGGUCUGUGGCCAACUGGGAUAUGUCCUGUACCACCUGCCAUUAUUCACAAUGCCAUCCAAGCAGAACACUACUGCAAUCCGCAUUCGGCUCACUGACCAUCGGCUUGACACAAAAAUCAAGCAUGAUCAGGGACUCACAAUAAAAAAAAAAAAAAAAGGAAA